UACGUAGGGGGCUAGCGUUGUCCGGAAUCAUUGGGCGUAAAGAGCGUGUAGGCGGCCCGGUAAGUCCGCUGUGAAAGUCGGGGGCUCAACCCUCGAAUGCCGGUGGAUACUGUCGGGCUAGAGUGCGGAAGAGGCGAGUGGAAUUCCUGGUGUAGCGGUGAAAUGCGCAGAUAUCAGGAGGAACACCAAUUGCGAAGGCAGCUCGCUGGGACGUAACUGACGCUGAGACGCGAAAGCGUGGGGGAGCGAACAGG
rnacentral:rRNA from 1 species